rnacentral:rRNA from 1 species
UACAGAGGGGGCAAGCGUUAUUCGGAAUUAUUGGGCGUAAAGGGCGCGUAGGCGGCUUGGCAAGUGGAUGGUGAAAUCCCUCGGCUUAACCGAGGAACUGCCAUCCAAACUGCUUCGCUUGAGACCGGGAGAGGUGAGUGGAAUUCCCAGUGUAGCGGUGAAAUUCGUAGAUAUUGGGAAGAACACCGGUGGCGAAGGCGGCUCACUGGCCCGUAACUGACGCUCAUGCACGACAGCGUGGGGAUCAAACAGG